rnacentral:rRNA from 1 species
CAAGUCGAGCGAACAGACGAGGAGCUUGCUCCUCUGACGUUAGCGGCGGACGGGUGAGUAACACGUGGAUAACCUACCUAUAAGACUGGGAUAACUUCGGGAAACCGGAGCUAAUACCGGAUAAUAUAUUGAACCGCAUGGUUCAAUAGUGAAAGACGGUUUUGCUGUCACUUAUAGAUGGAUCCGCGCCGCAUUAGCUAGUUGGUAAGGUAACGGCUUACCAAGGCGACGAUGCGUAGCCGACCUGAGAGGGUGAUCGGCCACACUGGAACUGAGACACGGUCCAGACUCCUACGGGAGGCAGCAGUAGGGAAUCUUCCGCAAUGGGCGAAAGCCUGACGGAGCAACGCCGCGUGGGUGAUGAAGGUCUUCGGAUCGUAAAACUCUGUUAUUAGGGAAGAACAAAUGUGUAAGUAACUAUGCACGUCUUGACGGUACCUAAUCAGAAAGCCACGGCUAACUACGUGCCAGCAGCCGCGGUAAUACGUAGGUGGCAAGCGUUAUCCGGAAUUAUUGGGCGUAAAGCGCGCGUAGGCGGUUUUUUAAGUCUGAUGUGAAAGCCCACGGCUCAACCGUGGAGGGUCAUUGGAAACUGGAAACUUGAGUGCAGAAGAGGAAAGUGGAAUUCCAUGUGUAGCGGGGAAUGCGCAGAGAUAUGGAGGAACACCAGUGGCGAAGGCGACUUUCUGGUCUGUAACUGACGCUGAUGUGCGAAA